rnacentral:rRNA from 1 species
UACGAAGGGUGCAAGCGUUACUCGGAAUUACUGGGCGUAAAGGGCGCGUAGGCGGCCGCCUAAGUCAGACGUGAAAUCCCUCGGCUCAACCGGGGAACUGCGUCUGAUACUGGGUGGCUUGAAUCCGGGAGAGGGAUGCGGAAUUCCAGGUGUAGCGGUGAAAUGCGUAGAUAUCCGGAGGAACACCGGUGGCGAAGGCGGCUUCCUGGACCGACACUGACGCUGAGGCGCGAAAGCCAGGGGAGCAAACGGG